rnacentral:misc_RNA from 1 species
CUAAUAUUAACUCAAUCUUAUACAAAAACAAAUUUCAUAAUCAUUAAUUCCAUUAUUGCCCACCUCAGCAACUCAUUCAAGCAUGUCCUUUGAUUUGUUGCCAUGAUAAACCUCCUUAAUUAUCAUAAUAUUGUUUACAUUAAUUCAGAAACCACUGUUUUAUUUCACAAUAAAACUAUAACAGAAAGAUUUCACUCUGCUUAUACAAGGUUAAGAAAAGACAACAAAAUACAGGAAUGAUCAAACCAUUACUUACUUGAUUCUGAUUGAUGUGAUGAGCUUAAAGAAAUUACAGAAGGCAGUAUAAACAAGACUUGAGAUCAACGCCUUAUGAAACCAACUACAACCUGUAACAUUAGCUGACCUAUGCUAAUCCUCAUUUCUAUCGUCUCCUUGCAUUUUUCCACAACGCAAGCCGAGCCGAGCAACUACUGGACAAAAAUUUGAGCAAUAUAAAUUUAACUAAGUAAAUGGAAAUGGUGGCACUGAUGUUGGGGCAAGACUUGACUAUCAGGCGGGAAAGACAUUACAAUUGGGGGAGCUCUACUUUGGUGUGCCUUUAGGUAAUUGUUUAAGCUUCUCACACUCUUUCAUUUUGAGCACUUACAGGAAAUAUAUAUUAAAAAAAACAUACAAAAAGAAGAGUCUAUAUGUUUUAAAUCAAUAGUUUUAACAUGAACGAUUUGCCUAUAAUUGAAUCGAGAAAAUAUGAAUACUAUCAUGUUGCAAUACAAUAAAAGAAUAUAUUGAUAAAGUGGAAGAGAAUUUUCAAUAAGUUAUGAUAUAAUAUAAAUCUAAUUGAGAAAAAAAAAAGUGAAUCUACAUACUACAUCUCAUGCAUUUGUCAUUUUAUUCUGGCAAAACAUACCUUAUUAUUAUUAUUUUUGGGAGUACAAAUAUCAUCUUGCUUCUUUUGCACUAUAACUCUCUGGGGAUCACGCAUUGAGCUCUUGGUGAAGCAACAGCUUUGAUUAGCCUGUGAAUCAUACUAGGGCUUUCACCACAUGGAUAAAUGCUCUACUUUUCUCAGCUUCAGAAUUGAAUUAAUGUUUGAAAUCUUGGUUACACCUGAACAGAAGACAAAAAGCAUCAACCUAAAUCGCACCACAAUAUUGCCAUGCACCAAUGGUGAGACUAAUGCUUUUGAAGAAUGUUCCGGGAAUAAGCACACCGUGGAAAUCAUCAAAACGAUGAAAUGAGAACACGUGCAAAUAUAUUUUAUGCAACACAAUAGACCCUGGAAGGCUAAAAGGUGUGGUGUUAACAAGAUAAAUCAUUCACAGGCCCGCACCCUGCCAGAAGCUAGAAUGGAAGAACCCCUAAUGGCAACUCAUAAUUUUCCACAUUAUAGACCACAUUUACAGAAUCUAAAGUAUCUUCCCAGACGAGAUACAGUGCAAAAAAGGCCAUUCUUCUUGGUGCCACAUUCAUCAAUUAGAAAAGAGGAUAAGGGAACAAAAUAACUCCCAGCGCUAGCUUCCCAAAAUUAUAUCUAGUUGCUUGUGCCAUUAGUACCACAAAUCCAACUAUUGCAAAGCAUUUCUUAUUAAGUGUCAAUUAAGACACAAAUAUUCUUUAAGGUGUACCCCAAUGCUCUUCAGAAGAAAUCAGUUUACUUUUCCACCAGUUUUCAUGUUCUCUGGUCACUUAGUCUUGGAUGGCUGUCUCCUUUGAUGGUUUCAUCUUUCAGGAUAAUGCUUACAACAUAUCUUAUGCCAACAAAUUGAUUUACAGUCUUGUCAACACCACCAUCAUUAGUAAAAUUAAGGGGUUUGAAAGGCAUGAGUUUUCAGAUUCCCAACAUUCUUUCUUGAUUUCUUAGUUCUGAAUGGAAUCUGAUUUGCAAUCAUGUUAAGUAGAUCUUCCAUCAUAUUGGCCGGGACUCCCAGACUCAUAACUCUCACUACUAACAGAUUUUCUAAUAGACUUCUAGUCCCUAUCAGGACUUUCAGGUUUCCAGCGAUCCUGCUCAUUAAUUUCUUCAAUGGAUUUGUAUCUUGAAUCAUUAUCAAACACAUAUCUUCUAUUACAUGGAUCCAUGUAACUGAACCCGUGAUUUUUUGCUGCUUUCAAACUCUCCUCAUGAGAAAUUGUUUCAUUACUUUCUCUGCUCGAAUGGCGGCUUCGGCUCAGGGGACAAUCCAGUGGAUUUCUUUUCAGGUGAGAUUUUCCUAUUUCAGUUUCCUCACUGUAAGACUUCUCUUUCAACCUCUUUGCCAUUAUCCCCUCAUCAUCUGAAAUCUCUUGUUGAAUUUGCCUCGAUUGUCUCCUUUUAUAACUGUGAUGUCUUUCCUUGUCAAACUGCUCAUCACUGGAAUCAGCAUCUUUUGUCCAGUUCCUAUCACCCCAUUGGUCAUCUGGGGACUUUGAGAAAUAGCUAUUGUUUCCUGAGCUCUUCCUUUUGGAAUUAUCAUGUCUGCCUUUGUCCUUGUCU